AGUGAACGCUGGCGGUAUGCCUAACACAUGCAAGUCGAACGGCAGCACAGUAAGAGCUUGCUCUUACUGGUGGCGAGUGGCGGACUGGUGCGGAAUACAUCGGAAUCUACUUUUUCGUGGGGGAUAACGUAGGGAAACUUACGCUAAUACCGCAUACGACCUACGGGUGAAAGCAGGGGAUCUCCGGACCUUGCGCGAUUGAAUGAGCCGAUGUCGGAUUAGCUAGUUGGCGGGGUAAAGGCCAACCAAGGCGACGAUCCGUAGCUGGUCUGAGAGGAUGAUCAGCCACACUGGAACUGAGACACGGUCCAGACUCCUACGGGAGGCAGCAGUGGGGAAUAUUGGACAAUGGGCGCAAGCCUGAUCCAGCCAUACCGCGUGGGUGAAGAAGGCCUUCGGGUUGUAAAGCCCUUUUGUUGGGAAAGAAAAGCAGCAGGUUAAUACCCCGCUGUUAUGACGGUACCCAAAGAAUAAGCACCGGCUAACUUCGUG
rnacentral:rRNA from 1 species